rnacentral:rRNA from 1 species
CGGGACGGGUGAGUAAUGUCUGGGAAACUGCCCGAUGGAGGGGGAUAACUACUGGAAACGGUAGCUAAUACCGCAUAACGUCGCAAGACCAAAGAGGGGGACCUUCGGGCCUCUUGCCAUCGGAUGUGCCCAGAUGGGAUUAGCUAGUAGGUGGGGUAACGGCUCACCUAGGCGACGAUCCCUAGCUGGUCUGAGAGGAUGACCAGCCACACUGGGACUGAGACACGGCCCAG